UUGUUUGGCUUCAUAUGUUAACUCUCUUUUCAAUCACCAGGUUCCAGAUGCCACCAGGAUGCUGAUGCUGGCUAGGCUUCCCUGGAUUGAAGACCCCACCAAUGUCUCCUGGAGCUCAGCUUCCCCAGAGACACACCCUGCUAGGGAAAGAGAGAGGCAGACUGGGAGUAUGGACCGACCAGUCAACGCCCAUGUUCAGCGGGGAAGCAAUUACAGAAGCCAGACCUUCUACCUUCUGCAACCCACAAUGACCCUGGGUCCAUGCUCCCAGAGGGAUAGAGAAUGGGAAAGCUAUCAGGGGAGGGGGUGGGAUAUGGAGAUUGGGUGAUGGUAAUUGUGUGGAGUUGUACCUCUCCUACCCUAAGGUUUUGUUAAUUAAUCCUUUCUUAAAUAAAAAAAUUUAAAAAAAAAGAA